rnacentral:rRNA from 1 species
UACGUAGGGUGCAAGCGUCGUCCGGAAUUAUUGGGCGUAAAGAGCUUGUAGGCGGUUUGUCGCGUCUGCUGUGAAAUCUCAAGGCUCAACCUUGAGCUUGCAGUGGGUACGGGCAGACUAGAGUGUGGUAGGGGAGACUGGAAUUCCUGGUGUAGCGGUGAAAUGCGCAGAUAUCAGGAGGAACACCGAUGGCGAAGGCAGGUCUCUGGGCCACUACUGACGCUGAGAAGCGAAAGCAUGGGGAGCGAACAGG